CGGCAUCCUCCACUGGUAAAAUUUGAAGCCUAUGCGGAAAUGCAAAAAUUGCAGUUCACCCCUCAUCCGCUAUGGGCUGGCUCCAAAACAAAGUCAGUCCCCAUAGACUCCUGUGUUAAAAAGCACAUCUGCACAACAGAAGUAAAAAUGUUUAA